rnacentral:rRNA from 1 species
GACGAACCGUGCGAACGUUGUUCGGAAUCACUGGCUUAAAGGGCGCGUAGGCGGGUGGCCAAGUCAGGGGUGAAAUCUUUCGGCUCAACCGGAAAACAGCUUCUGAUACUGGUCGUCUUGAGUGAGGUAGGGGCAUGUGGAACUUCCGGUGGAGCGGUGAAAUGCGUAGAUAUCGGAAGGAACGCCGGUGGCGAAGCGACGUGCUGGACCGUCUUCUGACGCUGAGGCGCGAAAGCUAGGGGAGCAAACGGG